rnacentral:rRNA from 1 species
AUGCCGGUGAUGAAUGGCUAUGAGGCGACGAGGCGCAUCCGUGAGGAAGAAACCCGACAUGGCGUCCGCACCCCGAUCAUUGCACUGAUGGCGAAUUCUGUAGAGGAAGGGCUGCAGGAGGCCAUCGAAGAUGGGAUGGAUCUUCACCUGACGAAGCCGAUACCAAAGCCGAAGAUCGCAAGGAUUAUUCUUGAGCUCUGCAAACAACACGAGAACUGA